UACGGAGGGUGCAAGCGUUGUCCGGAAUCACUGGGCGUAAAGGGCGCGUAGGCGGCUCAUGAAGGCUGUGGUGAAAGUCCGGGGCUCAACCUCGGAUCGGCCGUGGCGACUCGUGGGCUGGAGCACUGUAGAGGCGGGUGGAAUUCCGGGUGUAGCGGUGGAAUGCGUAGAGAUCCGGAGGAACACCUGUGGCGAAAGCGGCGCACUGGACCAUAACUGACGCUGAUGCGCGAAAGCUAGGGGAGCAAACAGG
rnacentral:rRNA from 1 species